AAUAGAUUCUUUUUUUGUUGUUGUAUAAGUGCUCUUAUUUUGAAACCUUGACUCACCUACGGACCUAUGGGUAAUUAAGAUGGCGUCGCAGGUGGCUUGUUUGUUAGUUAGGUAGCACAGGAAGAUGCCAGCACACAGUUUUUCAACCACUUCAUUUGUUUCAAGUUUCUUUUGUUACCUGUAAAUAUUAUUGGAUCAUCAUCGCUGAUAUCGUCAGACUGGACUGUUGGAACCAACCUGCCACAAUCAACAUUUUAAACACGAUGGGACGUGACAAAGACAAGCUGGUUGGAGUUUCCCUCUAGCCUGACCCCAAUGGACCAGAGCAGUGGAUCUCAGGCUGACAGACUGGAAGGAAACCCUGCACUUUCACAGGAAGCUUGGUGCCCAAAUUGCUCCCUGCAGCCUUGACACGAAAAGAUCAGAGUCUUCGUAGUUCUUCAUCACUGUCUUCCUCUCAAAGCUUGCUGAUGUGCCCUCAUUCUGUGAGCUCCACUGAGCGAUGGACGAUGUAUCCCAGAAGUCUCUCAAGCCGCUUUCUGACCAGUAUCUAGUGUCACCAAAUUGAGAUGCACAACUGCCCUUGUCUGGGAAUAAAAGUGGCCUCAGUUCCCACCAAACAAACCAACCCAGGCGUGUGAUGAUGUGUCUGUCCUAGCAGUUUACGCCACCUCAUUAAAAUAAAGUGCUAACAAAAUGUUCUGGAUUAAACCAUUGAAUACCACAAAUGAGACACCCACAGCUGUGUACAGCCAUAAUCUUAUAAUCUGUCUGAACCUGGCCUCGCGAAUUACUGUAAGUGUCAGUAUGCCUUAAAACCUUUA